AUACCUUUCUCGACCUUUUGGCUAAGAUCAAGUGUAGUAUAUGUUCUUAUCAGUUUAAUAUCUGAUACGUGGACCAUUGUCUCGCAUGAUAUUAAAUUAAUUUUUUCGGGGGAAGAGCCGUCUCGGUAGCUUGCUGCUGGGGUCUUCGAGUGUCGCCCUUGUGUUGCACUUCUGCUUGGGCCAGACACACCCAAU